AUUGAACGCUGGCGGCAGGCUUAACACAUGCAAGUCGAGCGAGCGGCGGACGGGUGAGUAAUGUCUGGGAAACUGCCUGAUGGAGGGGGAUAACGACUGGAAACGGUAGCCAAUACCGCAUACCAUCAGAUGUGCCCAGAUGGGAUUAGCUAGUAGGUGGGGUAAUGGCUCCCCUGGGCCCCGAUCCCUAGCUGGUCUGAGAGGCUGACCACUCACACUGGAACUGGGACACGGUCCAGACUCCUACGGGAGGCAGCGGUGGGGAAUAUUGCACAAUGGGCGCAAGCCUGAUGCAGCCAUGCCGCGUGUGUGAAGAAGGCCUUCGGGUUGUAAAGCACUUUCAGCGAGGAGGCGUUACUCGCAGAAGAAGCACCGGCUAACUCCGUGCCAGCAGCCGCGGUAAUUC
rnacentral:rRNA from 1 species